UUUAGCUUAAAAAGGCUCACCAAACAGCGCCACUGCCAAUGCCACUGGCUGAAGACUGAAAUCAAGAGACUGCUUCACGGGUAGUGAUGAAGUGAAAUUGAAUGAAGAUAAAAUCAAGAGACUGCGCCAAUAAUGCUUCUUGGUGCAUUCUCAAUUUCACUCUUCGCCAAUGUAAAGGAAAUGGCUAGUAUGAUGCUGGGUCAAUGAUGUCAUGGAUCCAAUUGUUUCCUGCAAUUCUAGCUGAAGGGAAAGCUAUACUUCAUUGGAAGGCUUAUUAUGUGGGCAAGGUCCUAGGUAUUUCAUUUGAUUUGGGUGUGGAUUUGUUGGACGGUGGUUACAAUGGCUGUGAGGGUACUUGGCUGAGGGCGUGGUGUGUGUGGGGGAUGUUUGAAUGGUUGUUGUUUUUGUGAUUAAAUUGAAAUGGAGUAAUUGAUUGUGGUGUUUGAAUAAUUUGCUUCUAACUUGAAGGCUUGUUGCUAUGCUCCUUUUCUCGAGUUACUAGUAUGGAACUUCAACUCCUCUUUUAUUUAUUUA